UGGGGAAUUUUGGACAAUGGGCGAAAGCCUGAUCCAGCAAUGCCGCGUGUGUGAAGAAGGCCUUCGGGUUGUAAAGCACUUUUGUCCGGAAAGAAAUCCUUGGCUCUAAUACAGUCGGGGGAUGACGGUACCGGAAGAAUAAGCACCGGCUAACUACGUGCCAGCAGCCGCGGUAAUACGUAGGGUGCAAGCGUUAAUCGGAAUUACUGGGCGUAAAGCGUGCGCAGGCGGUUUGCUAAGACCGAUGUGAAAUCCCCGGGCUCAACCUGGGAACUGCAUUGGUGACUGGCAGGCUAGAGUAUGGCAGAGGGGGGUAGAAUUCCACGUGUAGCAGUGAAAUGCGUAGAGAUGUGGAGGAAUACCGAUGGCGAAGGCAGCCCCCUGGGCCAAUACUGACGCUCAUGCACGAAAGCGUGGGGAGCAAACAGGAUUAGAUACCCUGGUAGUCCACGCCCUAAACGAUGUCAACUAGUUGUUGGGGAUUCAUUCCUUAGUAACGUAGCUAACGCGUGAAGUUGACCGCCUGGGGAGUACGGUCGCAAGAUUAAAACUCAAAUGAAUUGACGAGGUCAUAGCUGUUUCCU
rnacentral:rRNA from 1 species